rnacentral:rRNA from 1 species
UACGGGGGGGGCAAGCGUUGUUCGGAAUUACUGGGCGUAAAGGGCUCGUAGGUGGCCAACUAAGUCGGACGUGAAAUCCCUCGGCUUAACCGGGGAACUGCGUCCGAUACUGGUUGGCUUGAGUUUGGGAGAGGGAUGCGGAAUUCCAGGUGUAGCGGUGAAAUGCGUAGAUAUCUGGAGGAACACCGGUGGUGUAGACGGCUUUCUGGACCGUAACUGACGCUGAGACACGAAAGCGUGGGUAGCAAACAGG